rnacentral:rRNA from 1 species
GACGAACGCUGGCGGCGUGCUUAACACAUGCAAGUCGAACGCUGAAGACCUGGCUUUUGUUGGGUUGGAUGAGUGGCGAACGGGUGAGUAACACGUGAGUAACCUGCCCUCUUCUUUGGGAUAACGCCCGGAAACGGGUGCUAAUACUGGAUAUUCACUGAUCUUCGCAUGGGGGUUGGUGGAAAGGUUUGUUCUGGUGGGGGAUGGGCUCGCGGCCUAUCAGCUUGUUGGUGGGGUGAUGGCCUACCAAGGCUUUGACGGGUAGCCGGCCUGAGAGGGUGACCGGUCACAUUGGGACUGAGAUACGGCCCAGACUCCUACGGGAGGCAGCAGUGGGGAAUAUUGCACAAUGGGCGAAAGCCUGAUGCAGCGACGCCGCGUGAGGGAUGGAGGCCUUGGGGUUGUAAACCUCUUUCGCUCAUGGUCAAGCCGCAACUGUGGGUUGUGGUGAGGGUAGUGGGUAAAGAAGCGCCGGCUAACUACGUG